CUGGUAAAGUUUUCAUGUCACACUUCAACUGCCACUGAGGAACUGUAUCAGGGGACAGAUAGAAAUUGACCACUUGGGCCAGUGCCCGGCCACUUUCAGAUAAGCUUUGAACAAGGAAGAAAGGGAAAAUGCAGAAAGAAUAGAAGUUUGACAGCUGCUUUGAAACCUCUGGAGAUUAAACCUUAGGGUACCCCAACUCUGCCAUAAGGUAAGCCUCCAGCCCACUAAAGAUUUUUCUGGACCCUUAGUUUACAGUGUUUUGGAGUAUCCUGUAUCUUUUUUCUUAGAUUUUCAACAUACAUUAGCACAUUAUGUAGAAAU
rnacentral:lncRNA from 1 species